UUAUUGUAUGAAACGCAAGAAGGUGAGUGUUCCCUUUGAUAAGGAUGAAAGAGGCCCUAAUGGACCAUACAAUGUGCACGGUGAAGGCAUAGCAUUUAACCAUGUUUUUGG